rnacentral:miRNA from 1 species
CUGAUGCGGUUAUUUAAUUGAU